AUUGAUUUUAUGCUUGCAUAAAUGAUUUUUGGAUUCGGAGCGAGUGGCGAACUGGUGAGUAACACGUGGGUAACCUGCCCCGAAGCGGGGGAUAACAUUUGGAAACAAGUGCUAAUACCGCAUAAUUAGUUGGAACCGCAUGGUUCCAACUUGAAAGAUGGCUCUGCUAUCACUUUGGGAUGGACCCGCGCCGUAUUAGUUAGUUGGUGAGAUAAAAGCCCACCAAGACGAUGAUACGUAGCCGACCUGAGAGGGUAAUCGGCCACAUUGGGACUGAGACACGGCCCAGACUCCUACGGGAGGCAGCAGUAGGGAAUCUUCCACAAUGGACGAAAGUCUGAUGGAGCAACGCCGCGUGAGUGAUGAAGGUUUUCGGAUCGUAAAACUCUGUUGUUAAAGAAGAACAAGUGUUAGAGUAACUGUUAACACUUUGACGGUAUUUAACCAGAAAGCCACGGCUAACUACGUGCCAGCAGCCGCGGUAAUACGUAGGUGGCAAGCGUUGUCCGGAUUUAUUGGGCGUAAAGCGAGCGCAGGCGGUUUUGUAAGUCUGCUGUGAAAGCCCUCAGCUCAACUGAGGAAGUGCAGUGGAAACUACAAAACUUGAGUACAGAAGAGGAAAGUGGAACUCCAUGCGUAGCGGUGAAAUGCGUAGAUAUAUGGAAGAACACCAGUGGCGAAGGCGGCUUUCUGGUCUGUUACUGACGCUGAGGCUCGAAAGCAUGGGUAGCGAACAGGAUUAGAUACCCUGGUAGUCCAUGCCGUAAACGAUGAAUACUAGGUGUUGGAGGGUUUCCGCCCUUCAGUGCCGCAGCUAACGCAUUAAGUAUUCCGCCUGGGGAGUACGACCGCAAGGUUGAAACUCAAAGGAAUUGACGGGGGCCCGCACAAGUGGUGGAGCAUGUGGUUUAAUUCGAUGCUACGCGAAGAACCUUACCAGCUCUUGACAUCUUCUGCCAACCCAAGAGAUUGGGCGUUCCCUUCGGGGACAGAAUGACAGGUGGUGCAUGGUUGUCGUCAGCUCGUGUCGUGAGAUGUUGGGUUAAGUCCCGCAACGAGCGCAACCCUUAUUAUUAGUUGCCAGCAUUUAGUUGGGCACUCUAAUGAGACUGCCGGUGAUAAA
rnacentral:rRNA from 1 species